rnacentral:rRNA from 1 species
AUGGGGAACUUCGUGUCCUGCACCAUGGCCAUGAUCCCCGGGGCGGCCAAGGACGUCAGGAUUGUGCUCCCCGAUGGCGGGCUGAGGCUGGUCAGGCCCCCGGCGACGGCGGCGGAGCUGAUGCUCGAGGCGCCGGGCCAUUUCCUGGCCGACGCGCGCGCGCUGCAGGCGGGGCGCCGGAUCGUGGCGCUUGCAGCUGACGAGGACCUCGAGCUCGGGGGAGUCUACGCCGCCUUCCCCAUGAAGCGGCUUGGCUCCAAGGCCGUGCCCGCCGACGUUUUCGCCAGCGAGGCUCAUGCCCGGAGGCCCGCUUCGGCCAAGGUGUCGGACAUCGUCGUGGCGUCGCCAGGGGUGGCUUCCGUUGCCACCGAGGAGGUCAUCCCACCGGUCAGGACGCCGCGGUUGGAUGAGAUGGCCGCGGACAACGAGGCGGCUGCGGCAGAGAUCGGAGAGCUCAAUCAACGGAUAAGCGGCGGUCGCUUGUCGAGGCGGCGGCCCACGUUGGAGACUAUACACGAGGAAAGCUACGCCGCACUAGCAUGCUAA